GCCUUUAAGGCCCCAAAACCCUUGGGGAGCGAACAGGAUUAGAUAUCCCUGGUAGUCCACGACCGUAAACGAUGAGUGCUAAGUGGUUAGACGGGUUUACCGCCCUUUGAGUGCUGCAGCAAACGCAUUAAGCACUCCGCCUCGGGGAGUACGGUCGCAAGACUGAAACUCAAAGGAAUUGAACGGGGGGCCCGCACAAGCGGUGGAGCAUGUGGUUUAAUUCGAAGCAACGCGAAGAACCUUACCAGGUCUUGACAUCCUCUGACAACCCUAGAGAUAGGGCUUCCCCUUCGGGGGCAGAGUGACAGGUGGUGCAUGGUUGUCGUCAGCUCGUGUCGUGAGAUGUUGGGUUAAGUCCCGCAACGAGCGCAACCCUUGAUCUUAGUUGCCAGCAUUCAGUUGGGCACUCUAAGGUGACUGCCGGUGACAAACCGGAGGAAGGUGGGGAUGACGUCAAAUCAUCAUGCCCCUUAUGACCUGGGCUACACACGUGCUACAAUGGGCAGAACAAAGGGCAGCGAAGCCGCGAGGCUAAGCCAAUCCCACAAAUCUGUUCUCAGUUCGGAUCGCAGUCUGCAACUCGACUGCGUGAAGCUGGAAUCGCUAGUAAUCGCGGAUCAUGCAUGCCGCGGUGAAUAUCGUUACCCGGGCCUUGUACACACCGCCCGUCACACCACGAGAGUUUGUAACACCCGAAGUCGGUGAGGUAACCUUUGACC
rnacentral:rRNA from 1 species